ACUACUUACAUUAUUCCAACCAUUAGAGUUACUUGCUUGACAUGUGAGUAGACCUCCAUGCAAGUACUCUUGUUCGAUUGUGUUCAGUGAACUCAUUCUCUUAAUGAGCACCUACAUACUUGUCUUAGUGUCACAACACGAAUGGGAUGAGACUUUCCAUCCUUCCAUUUGAAGCGGACACAGUAUGUACUGGUCUAAGCAUUGUCAGUUUCCCUCCGACAAUCCAAUGACUAGGAACCUUUUGGACAUAAUGGUUAUGUGAAGAAGGUCUCUGUAGUCUAAUAUCAUUAGAUUACUUCUUCAAUCGAUCCAUUAUCCAUGGAUACACUAUUUAGGACAUAUAUCGUUUAUUGAGAUAGUCCUAAUUCGUGUCUUUGCCAUUUGAUGUAUAAGAGUCAUCCAUACAUCGAUUCUUUUGUCCUGAAAGGUUUCUUCCAAAGAUUGACUUUCAGGGCAUAUUUCGAACAAUCUCCCACUUGCACUAAAGUCAAUCACUAGUGUAUCUUAUACAUCUUGUUGAGAGAGCUUAUGCUCGUAGGUUAAUUUGGUUAUGUAUUAAUCCCUUUUAUCAUUUAAAAGGGAUUUACUUAUCAAAUGUUUCCAAAAACAUUUGGAUGAUGUCUCUUUCUUGUGUUCGAAUACUUUGAUGAGACCUUGAUUCCAUGGCUUGAGCUAUCGCCCCAUUACGUCGUAGUACCCUACUAACGACCUUAUGGUUUGGAUUCAAUCAUUGGUUCUAAAAGAACCCCUUCCAUUCAAAACACCUUUUGAAGCAGUUUCUAAAACUAUAUAUCGACAUAUAUUUCGUUUGUAUACUUUAUACAAACUUUGCUCCAACCUUGAGACCAUUGUAGUACAAUACUAACAAUCAUUCAUAUGAUUAGUACUUCAUCCAUUAUGAAGUUCCAUUUGUUAAAAAUGGCUUAUUUUCACUUUGGUUAACAACCUAAGUGAAUGCACGCUUCCAGAGUCCCACUCUGAUGUUUCUUUCUUAAAGGCAAUAAUACUCUUUCAGUUGCUUUGGUUCUGAUCCUGGGAUAUAGUAAUAUCUUAAAGUGACAACCCUUGUGGUUUUUCACUUUUGGAUAUCUACUUCACAAGUCAAUACAUGUGUCCCUUUUGUGAUUUUUAUGACACAUUCAUUAUAAGGGUUAUGAAAGUGAUUUCCUAUCACAUAGGAAAAUGCUUUCUUAAAUCCACAACAUUUUGAGAUUUAAUUCCCAUAUAACAUUAUUGAGAUAGCCUUGCUAUAUCAAUAAGUCCAAUUUCAAGUCUAUACUUCAAAAUUGACCAUGUCAUGUUUUGUCAUUUCUCGAGUAACAUCUAUGUUUUAUCAAGUCUAUCUAAUAGACUUUAUUCACAUCUUGUUGCUCAAAUUAUGACAUCACUCCCACUGGCCUUGUUGUAACUUAGAAUUCUAUCAAAAAUAACAAUUAUAUUUUCUUGAUUUGAAUGCAUAUUGCUCCCACUAACUUAAAUGAAUCACACACAAAAGAAUUCCUUCUCAAGUAAUUCCAUUUGAAAUGUGUGACUUGUUCUAUUAAGUCUAUUCAUUUAAAUUAUAUGGUGUCAUACACCAUACUUCAAGUUUUAGUCAUACUAAGACCUUUAAUGUAGUCAAAUAAGAAUUAUCCAAGUCUUUAGUGGAAGCAUGGCUCCUACUAAGGAUAUAGAAACUCAACCUUUCCUUCUAGGUGGUUGAUAUAAUUCUUUAUUAAAACUACAUAGAGCAAUAUUGUUACAUGAGAUGUUUAAUUUGAUUUGUCUUGUUGUUAAACCAUAUGUUGUGACUCAUUUUGAAACUUAUUCCCUUUUUGUUUCAUCAACUUGUCCAUAUGCUUGGUUAUUUAGAUUGUUCUCAUAAAAGAGAAUUAUGGACAACUCCCAACAUAUAACCAUUUUAUGCUAGGUUGACGAAACCAACAUUCAAAGACUAUUCUUUAGAAUGUCACACAACAUAGAAUUUUAACGUUUUGAAGAGCUUGAAUCUUUUAACAAUUAAAAUUGCAAACUCUUAAUAAUAGUCAAAUACUAUUAUUCUUUAGACAACUAUAAACCAAUCAUAUUCAAGUUUAUAUCCAUUUUCACACCUCCCACUAUUUCUCAUGACUUUAAUGAGAAAUCACUUCAUAUAUUCAAAAUGUAUGAAAGUGGAGUAUAUUGGAAGAAGACAUUGUGUAGUAGCUUUAAAACAUUUCAAGCUUUAUUUGUUUCAAUCUUCACUAAGUUAAUGUCUUGUUAUUAAGUGACUAAAGUCUUUAAACAUUUUAUAGAUUUAGACACUUCUUUCUUGGUUUAAUCACUAACACAAUUGACAUUUUUAAAACCUUUUAAAGAAUGCCCAAUUAGUUGUUCAAAAUUACUAAUUGAAUCAAGAGUGAUCUUGAUCAUUGUGUUUCAAGUGAUAACCAUAUAAGAAACGUUUUUCUUAUUACUUAUAUCAUUAUAAUGUGAUCUUCCUUUUCUUCAAGAAAGGAUACUCUAGACUUUUGUCAAUUCAUAUAGAACUCAUAGGUAGACAAAUGGAACCAAAUCUAAAGAUUCAUUGUAUCCUUUUAUGUCCUACAUGUGAGAUCUAUCUAUAAUUGAUAAAUCUAAAGUUUGGUUAUCACAUUACAAUAAGUGAUAUAACUCUUGUAUCUCAACUAGGAUACAAUAAGACAAUUUUCAAUUCAUAACACUACUUUAAGGAAAUAGUAUAUUAAAAAAGGCAUUCUUCACAUUACAUUAAUAUGAUAUUUCAAACAUUCAUAAUGUUUAAUACAAAAAGUAUUAGCUCUAUACAUUGAGAGACUAAUAUAAAUACCUUUAUACAUUUAGGCACUAAUAGUGGUCUUCCAUCAUAUGAAGCCACAUAAUAAGUUCUUAACAAAAUAAGAAAGUUUAAAGACAAUCUUUAAUGCCUAACAAACUUCCUAAGUAGUAAGCAAAAAUAUAGUGGCCGAACCCUUCACCACUUUUUCCUUGCUUGUUCAUCUUCUACUUGGCUUCUCCACCUAUAUACAAUUAUACAAGUGAUUAGCUCUUUAUAUCAAAUAUAAAUAUUUAGAAGAUCUAACAUUUAGAAUUGAAGAUAAGAACAUAAACCAUACCUUGUGGCUUGUCCUUAAGACUUGCAAGGUAUAACCUGCAAUUCCUCCUCCAAUGCCCCUCAUUUCCACAGUGGUGGCAAGUCCCUUUGGGCUCCUUUGCCUUCUUUUUCUUCACUCCUCCUUUCGGCUUAGGAGUGGGUGGCUUCUUCUCCUUCCCUUUGCCUUUGCCUUGCGGCUUGGCCUUGGAAGAGGAUGGCUUGUUGCAGUCCCUACAACGUUCUCUUUCUUCAUAGUCUUCUCGGCAGUUACUAACAUAUUUAGUAACUCAGAGAGAGUACUAUCCAUCUUAUUCAUAUUGUAGUUUAUUACGAACUGCGCAAAUGAAUCAGAAAGAGAAGCCAAUAUGAAGUCCUGGGCCAAUUCCCCGUCAUGUGGAGUACCAAGGUUCUCCAAUUGUUCAAUGAAUCCUAUCAUCUUCAGUACAUGUUGAUGCACUGGAGCCCCCUUGACCAUCUUGGUCUUCACAAGUUCACAAAUAGUGCUAAAGCGACGGUUGCGCGUCCCUUCACCAUAUAACUCCGUAAGAUGGAGUAUUAUGGAAGAUGCACUGUCCAUGCCCUCGUGCUGUCUCUGUAGCUCCUUAUUCAUGGAAGCCAACAGAUAGCACUUGGCUUGUGUGUCAUCCUCAACGUGCUUGUCAAACUUAGCACGUUCAUCCUCAGUAGCCCCAGGGCCGAGAGGUAUGUGAGGUGGAGCCUUGUCUAGUACGUAGACAAUCUUCUCCAAUGUUAGGAGAAUCUUGACAUUACGAUACCAUGAUGGGAAAUUGUGCCCCUCUAGGCAAUGUUUGUCGAGUAUUUUCGCGAGUGUGCUUCCAACCAUAUCUAAAUACAUAAACAAUAAAAUAAUUAGUUUGAUUGUUGAUUAAGUCAAACGAUUCGGGUCUUUUUAAACCGAAUGACACCACCCACCAUUUUCGGCAAAUUCCAAUAUCCCUCAAGAAUGGAAUCCGGGAGAUUUCAAAGAAAGCUCCUAGCGGUUAUGGAGGCUCACUAUUACCAAGCCACCUCACGAUGAUACGAUGUUGGCUAGCAAAAAUAAUAAUGAGAGGGUACAAUUACCCAUUCACAACAACCUCUUGUGAUUACCCAUCUUUUUGGCCUCUAGAGAGUAAUGCCUCACGAUGAUACGAUGUUGGCAUUAUUUCUCUUAGUUAAGUUUCUUUCCCACCAUGCCGGUUUAGAUAGGGGUCAAGCAUGACCUCACGAUGAUACGAUGUUGGCCACACUCGUUGCCUACCUUAACCUCAUCAAAUGUUUUAAAUAAACUCCUCCUGAGUAUAAGCAUGCACUUUGCACUCCCCCAUGAUAGGGUGAAGGCGAUGUACAAGUCAUAAACGAUUGGAGCCUACCACGGUGGAAGGCCACGAAAAAGUGUUCAAAGCACUUCUUACGCUUUCAACUUAAUAUUGUAUUGUUGGUUGAGGGAUUUUAAGGUCUCAUCAAUUUUAUUUAUUUAAUCAUAUUCAAAUAAAUAAUGUCCUAUUUACAACUACUAGUCCAAAGUUAAUGAAAUUAGUAGCAUAUGAUAUCCCCACUAUUCGUUUUCAUUAAAACAAAUCAAUAUCAAAACAUUUUUUUCAAAAAUAUUGGAGAUAUAUAUAACUACUAAUUGUUUUCAUUAUAGUUUAGUAGCGUAUGAUACUCCCACUAUUUGUUUUAAGAAAAACAAAUCAAUAUCAAAAACUAAUUUUUCAAAUAUUGGAAGUAACUACUACUUACUAAGGUUUUUGCAUUCCUUUUGAAAUUGGACUUUAUAGUUAAUUCUUAGGCUCUUGGAUGACCAUGGACUUAUUAGGUUAUUGCAACAACGAGCCAACAUUGUUGAAUAUAAAACUCGGGGGAGGUUGUGUCAAUUUAAUUACGUGCUUUUCAAUCCAAUUAAAACAUUUUUUCAUUGAGCCAUUAGAAAUGAAAGACAAUCAUUCAUUGCUAAUUAGGGCAUUGGACCCAUUUAAUCUUUAAUCUCAUGUCAAAACCCUCUUUUAAUUAUGUCUCCUUACCAAUAGUUAAAGAAACUCUAGUCUAGCACUAGAGGGAAUCAACUAACUAAAAAGAGAUUAAGAAAUAAUAAGAAUUACAAACCGAUUGUACAAAUUCCUACAAAUUACACAUACUAAGAGGGAGUGAUAGAUUAAUGUCAAAUGUGACAAGGGUCCAAUUGAAAAACAGUAAUUAAAACACAUUUCCCAAGGUUCAAACAAUUUGAUUUUAGCGCCUUAUCUCAUAGCUCAAUUAUCGUUUAAGGCAUAAGUCCAUAAUCACCCUUUUCUAACUACUUAAAUCACAUUAAAUAAUCAAAAAUGGAAUGCAACAUGAACAUUUAGAUUUAGUGCAUAUGAGGCAUAAAUAGAAUUAUGAGUUUAAACAACUAACAAAAUUAAAAUCAAAUAUUUUAACUUUCUAGUUAGUAGGGGCCUAAAUGCAAAUAAGAAAAAGUUAGGGGUCAAAACCGUAAAUACUCAAAAGUAUAAAAUAUCUUUUUCCAAAUUACAAAAGACCCCCCAAGUGGAUAAAUCCACUAGGGUGGCCGGCCACAUUAAGGAGAUGGGAAGUCUCACCCAUCUUGCUUUAAUUCAAUGCAAGGUAGAAAAAAUCCAAAUUUUGCAUGUCACUUGGUUUUGGUUUAAAUGACUUUAGUAAAAAAAGUGAUGAAAUCUCCUAGACAAGUCUAGGGUUUUAAAAGUUUAAUAUGGUUAUGGAUGGUAAGAACAUCAUCCAAAACCAUUAAAACUAUGCAUGAAAUCCAAAUAAAAACCAUUUUCACCAAAACCAAACUAUGAACACCAAGAACAAAACCAUGAACACUUUUUUUCAAGAUUUGUAUUUCUUGGUGAUUUUUCAAACCCAAAAACUAAAGUGACAAGGUUUCUAUUUUCUAGCUUUAAAAUGAUGUGUGAGUGACUUAUUCUUCAUUCAUGCAUACAAAUUUUGUUCAUGACUUAUUCUUCAUACAUGCAUACAAAACAACUUUUACAUGCAUAUCUUUUCAACUCUUAUUUAUAUUUUUCAACCAUUGAAAAAACAAAGAUAAACAUACUUUUAAAUGAAGAAAUAAUAUGUCAAACUAGUUCAAAACUCAAUUUUCAUUCAUGCAUACAAAACAUCUUUUGCAUACAUAUCUUUCUCAACUAUUGACUAACAUUUUUCAACUAUUGAAAAACAAAAGAUAAACAUAUUUUGAAUGAAGCAAUAAUUAUGUCAUACAUAAUAUUAAUACCCAUAUGCAUAAAAUCCAAAAGGACACAUUAUACAUAAACCUUUGGCUCUGAUACCACUUGAAGGGAAAAAUAUGAGUUUAACACAUGGGAUUUCUAAAUGACUAGCAUGCAUAUACAAUUCAAAAUUUAUAUACAUGAGCAACGGAAGCAAUUUAUCAAAUAAUAUCAAAGCAAUAGUCAUGCAAAUCCCCUUCAAGGUUCAUAGGUUUAUAUAUAAUGCAUCAAAACAUUUUAGUAAAGAACAAAGUGAAAGUUUAGUCUUAUACCUCUUGAUCUAGACUUGAGACCAAGGAUGGACCACCUCCAAGCCCUUUGUUCCUUGAAGUCCUUGAGCCUAGCCUCCCUCCUUGCCUCCUCCACUUUGUUAGUAAGAGUGCUCCAAGGUUCUCCUUUAAGUCUUCCAAAGGAGAAGACCUCUAAAGAUCCACACCCACUAGAGUAGUGAGAUGGAUGGAGGAAUAACCAAAAGGGUGAAAAGAUUGUUAGCUAAAUUCACCCUAUUAAGGUGGCCGGCCUUUGUGGUUUUAGAGAGCUAUUUUCUUUGCCUCUUUGUUGUUUCAAAACCACAAAAAACCCUAAUGAAACUUUGUGCUAUAAAGUUCCUUAUAUAGACAAAAAAAAACCUAGUCAACAACUUUGACUAAAUAUCUCUCCCAAACCCUUUAAUGGCCGGCCCUUUAGUGUUUGUUUGGGCUUUGGGCUUUUUAUUAUUUCAAGUCAUCCUAUGCUUGAAUAAAAGCCCAAUGGGCCCAAUUAAACCCGAACGUUUCUUUAAGCCCAAAACGAUCUUUUAUCGCUUUUUAUGAUUUCUUUAGACUUCUAAAUUAAUCACAACACUUAAUUAAUCCAAUUAAUUAUUUCCAUCAUCCAUUAAUUACUCACUACAAGAGUGUAUCGGUGUACAAUCAUUUUAGGUUCUAAUUAGCAAGCAGUGAGGUGAUUGCAUCAAUUCCAAUUGAUUAUAUUUAAUCCAAUCACUUAGUGAAUUAAAAAACUUCAUUUUAAUUCACCUUUCUUCUUUGAUGACUACAUUUAAUCAUCUAGAAGAACUCACAAGCUAUGAGUGACAUCUAACCAUAUGUCAUAGCUACCCAAGCAAUGUAGAAGUUGUUCGGAAACCUAUUCAGUUGGAAUUACAUGUAAUUCGAUCCUUCUCUAAAACAAUACUCUCAAUCACAUUACUAGGGUAUGGAUAUAUUAUGUCAAACCCCUAAUGUGAUUAUUCCUUCUUAAUGAUUCUAUUGAGUCGUAUAGGAACGCUUUCCUUUAUUACGCUCGAUACUUCGGCCGAAGGAUUCCCGAAUCAUAUCUUAGAGUAUUCUUCCUCUCUAAAUCGAGGAUUUAGAGAUUCCUUGUUGCGCAUUCACUUGCUUCAUGACUAAGUGCUUAACCCCAAUUACCGGGACAUCCGCGAAUGGGGUGACUUUAACAAAGAUUAAUACUUAGCCACAAGACAACGACGAUGCCUCAGGUCAAAGGACUACUUACAUUUUCCAACCAUAGAGUUACUUGCUUGACAUGUGAGUAGACCUCCAUGCAAGUACUCGCGUUGAUUGUUCAGUGAAACUCAUUUCUUAAUGAGCACCUACAUACUUCUUAGUCACCACGAAUGGGAUGAGACUUUCCAUCCUUCCAUUUGAAGCGGACACUAUGUACCGGUCUAAGCAUUGUCAGUUUCCCUCCGACAAUCCAUGACUAGGAACCUUUGGACAUUAAUGGUUAUGUGAAGAAGGUCUCUGUAGUCUAAUAUCAUUAGAUUACUUCUUCAAUC
rnacentral:lncRNA from 1 species